CAAGGCUCCUAGUAACUGGAGACUCUAAGCUAUUUAACUUGUUUGUAAAUCUCACCUUGAUUUUUAAAGAAAAAAAUAGUUUAAAUAGCUUAACAGCAACUAAAAAUUUACGAUAAGCAAGAGGAGGAUCAAUGUUAUCCAUACAGAUGCGUGUCAUCACAAAUAUUCGUGAAUGUGAUACAGAAUAGGCAUUAAUAUUGUUGAUUUAUUAUUGUAUACAGCCGGAUGGUAUUACGAUAGCUGAUAGCAUUGAUGUGGACAUUCACGAUAUCAUGGUGCAUCAUUAAUCGUGACAGAUGACAUCAUUAUGGUAUCACGACCUCACUACACUCCGGUUAAUACCAUAUUACCGUUAACAUAAACAAAAUAUCGACCCGAACAUCUUUGAAAGGUUGAAAAUGGCUAAAUAUAAUAAAUGGUGAUGAUCCGCUUGAGUGGGUGUUUAAAAGUUGAAUUUUGAUGCUUUAGAAAGUAGUGAACAGUAAAAAUAUGAGUAGGAAGAUUUAAAUAAAUUGAAAU